rnacentral:rRNA from 1 species
UACGUAGGGUGCAAGCGUUGUCCGGAAUUAUUGGGCGUAAAGAGCUCGUAGGCGGUUUGUCACGUCGAAUGUGAAAACCCGGGGCUCAACCCCGGGCCUGCAUUCGAUACGGGCAGACUAGAGUUCGGUAGGGGAGUCUGGAAUUCCUGGUGUAGCGGUGAAAUGCGCAGAUAUCAGGAGGAACACCGGUGGCGAAGGCGGGACUCUGGGCCGAUACUGACGCUGAGGGGCGAAAGCGUGGGGAGCAAACAGG